GAUUAAGUGACCUUGCGCAUAUCACUCUGUUUGAGAAGAAGCCCAGCUGCGAUUUGACCCCAGGCAACCUUAAGGCAGUAGCGUUUUACCUCCAGCAACACCGUCCUUCUCUGACUGGACAGCAUAACUGGGGGAAACACACCUUCACUCUGACCCGUCUGAGCCUCUUUCAUAACACAGGCUUCUAUGGACAGUGGGAACUGUGAACUGCCCUGCAGUAGCCUCCUGCGGACCUUACAACUUUCUUUGUAUCCAAACGUAACGAGGCCGGUUUGCAUUUGCAAAGUCUAAGAAUUAUCUGUGACUGUUGUG
rnacentral:lncRNA from 1 species